GUGGGGAAUUUUGGACAAUGGGCGCAAGCCUGAUCCAGCCAUGCCGCGUGAGUGAAGAAGGCCUUCGGGUUGUAAAGCUCUUUCGGCCGGGAAGAAAUCGUGUUCUCUAACAUAGGGCAUGGAUGACGGUACCGGACUAAGAAGCACCGGCUAACUACGUGCCAGCAGCCGCGGUAAUACGUAGGGUGCGAGCGUUAAUCGGAAUUACUGGGCGUAAAGCGUGCGCAGGCGGUUUUGUAAGACAGAUGUGAAAUCCCCGGGCUUAACCUGGGAACUGCGUUUGUGACUGCAAGGCUAGAGUACGGCAGAGGGGGGUGGAAUUCCUGGUGUAGCAGUGAAAUGCGUAGAUAUCAGGAGGAACACCGAUGGCGAAGGCAGCCCCCUGGGCCUGUACUGACGCUCAUGCACGAAAGCGUGGGGAGCAAACAGGAUUAGAAACCCUAGUAGUCC
rnacentral:rRNA from 1 species